rnacentral:rRNA from 1 species
CCGGUGAAAAUUAAACGGCCGCGGUAUCCUAACCGUGCAAAGGUAGCAUAAUCACUUGCCUAUUAAUUGUAGGCUAGAAUGAAAGGAUUAACGAAAUAAGGACUGUCUCUAUCACAUAUCUAAAAGUUACUAUCUACUUGAAGAAUCGUAGAUAAGUUCGUUGGACAAGAAGACCCUAUAGAGCUUCAUUUAAAAACAAGUGAAAUUGUUCUAAAAUUCGGUUGGGGCGACCAAGGAAAUAUUAAUCACCCUAUAGUAUUAAAGAUUUAUUAAUCUAAAAAUUGACCCUUAUAAAGAUCAAAAAAUCAAGUUACCUUAGGGAUAACAGGCUAAUCCUAUUAUAGAGUUCAUAUCGACAAUAGGGUUUGGCACCUCGAUGUUGGCUUAGGAUACCAAUAUAGCGCAAAAGCUAUAAAAGGGCGGUUUGUUCAACCGAUAAUUUCCUACNUGAUCUGAGCUUCA